rnacentral:rRNA from 1 species
GUGGGGAAUCUUAGACAAUGGGGGCAACCCUGAUCUAGCCAUGCCGCGUGAGUGAUGAAGGCCUUCGGGUCGUAAAGCUCUGUUGCAGGGGAAUAAAAAAAUGAAGGUACCCUGUGAGGAAGGAUCGGCUAACUUCGUGCCAGCAGCCGCGGUAAGACGAGGGAUCCUAGCGUUGCUCGGAAUCAUUGGGCGUAAAGAGGGCGUAGGUGGCUUGGUAAGUCAGGUGUGAAAGCCCAGGGCUCAACCCUGGAAGUGCAUUUGAUACUGCUGAGCUUGAGUGUCGGAGAGGUUACCGGAAUACCUGGUGUAGUGGUGAAAUACGUAGAUAUCAGGUGGAACACCGGAGGCGAAGGCGGGUAACUGGACGAACACUGACACUGAGGCCCGAAAGCGUGGGGAUCAAACAGGAUUAGAAACCCUUGUAGUCC